rnacentral:rRNA from 1 species
GACGAACGCUGGCGGCGUGCUUAACACAUGCAAGUCGAGCGAUUAAGCGGUGCUUGCACCGUGGUUUAGUGGCGAACGGGUGAGUAAUGCGUGAGUGACUUACCUUUGACUCUGGGAUAAGCCUGGGAAACUGGGCUUAAUACCGAAUACGACCAAUCUCUGCAUGGGGUGUUGGUGGAAAGCGAUAUGGAGUGGUAUUAGUUGGUCUCACGGCCUAGGAGCUUGUUUGUCAGGCAAUGGCGUAGCAGGGCCGUGACUGGUAGGCGACCUGAGAGGGUGAACAGCGACACGGCGACUAAGAGACGGCGCAGACUCCUAUGGUAGGCAGCAGGGGGGAGUAUUGCACAAUGGGCGCAAGCGUGAUGCAGCGGCGUCGCGAUAGGGAUGACGUUCUUCUGGUUGUAAACCUCUGUUAGCAUCGAAGAAGCGAAAGUGACGGUACGUACAGAGAAAGCACCGGCUAACUACGUG